rnacentral:rRNA from 1 species
GACGAACGCUGGCGGCGUGCCUAAUACAUGCAAGUAGGACGCACAGUUUAUACCGUAGCUUGCUACACCAUAGACUGUGAGUUGCGAACGGGUGAGUAACGCGUAGGUAAUCUGCCUAUUAGAGGGGGAUAACUAUUGGAAACGAUAGCUAAUACCGCAUAACAGUAUGUAACACAUGUUAGAUGCUUGAAAGAUGCAAUUGCAUCGCUAGUAGAUGGACCUGCGUUGUAUUAGCUAGUAGGUAGGGUAAAGGCCUACCUAGGCAACGAUACAUAGCCGACCUGAGAGGGUGAUCGGCCACACUGGGACUGAGACACGGCCCAGACUCCUACGGGAGGCAGCAGUAGGGAAUCUUCGGCAAUGGGGGGAACCCUGACCGAGCAACGCCGCGUGAGUGAAGAAGGUUUUCGGAUCGUAAAGCUCUGUUGUUAAGGAAGAACGAGUGUGAGAAUGGAAAGUUCAUACUGUGACGGUACUUAACCAGAAAGGGACGGCUAACUACGUGCCAGCAGCCGCGGUAAUACGUAGGUCCCGAGCGUUGUCCGGAUUUAUUGGGCGUAAAGCGAGCGCAGGCGGUUAGAAAAGUCUGAAGUGAAAGGCAGUGGCUCAACCAUUGUAGGCUUUGGAAACUGUUUAACUUGAGUGCAGAAGGGGAGAGUGGAAUUCCAUGUGUAGCGGUGAAAUGCGUAGAUAUAUGGAGGAACACCGGUGGCGAAAGCGGCUCUCUGGUCUGUAACUGACGCUGAGGCUCGAAAGCGUGGGGAGCGAACAGG